rnacentral:rRNA from 1 species
AAAGUAGCUUGCUACUUUGCUGACGAGCGGCGGACGGGUGAGUAAUGCUUGGGAACAUGCCUUGAGGUGGGGGACAACAGUUGGAAACGACUGCUAAUACCGCAUAAUGUCUACGGACCAAAGGGGGCUUCGGCUCUCGCCUUUAGAUUGGCCCAAGUGGGAUUAGCUAGUUGGUGAGGUAAUGGCUCACCAAGGCGACGAUCCCUAGCUGGUUUGAGAGGAUGAUCAGCCACACUGGGACUGAGACACGGCCCAGACUCCUACGGGAGGCAGCAGUGGGGAAUAUUGCACAAUGGGCGCAAGCCUGAUGCAGCCAUGCCGCGUGUGUGAAGAAGGCCUUCGGGUUGUAAAGCACUUUCAGUCAGGAGGAAAGGUUAGUAGUUAAUACCUGCUAGCUGUGACGUUACUGACGGAAGAAGCACCGGCUAACUCCGUGCCAGCAGCCACGGUAAUACGGAGGGUGCGAGCGUUAAUCGGAAUUACUGGGCGUAAAGCGUACGCAGGCGGUUUGUUAAGCGAGAUGUGAGAGCCCCGGGCUCAACCUGGGAACCGCAUUUCGAACUGGCAAACUAGAGUGUGAUAGAGGGUGGUAGAAUUUCAGGUGUAGCGGUGAAAUGCGUAGAGAUCUGAAGGAAUACCGAUGGCGAAGGCAGCCACCUGGGUCAACACUGACGCUCAUGUACGAAAGCGUGGGGAGCAAACAGAAUUAGAUACCCUGGUAGUCCACGCCGUAAACGAUGUCUACUAGAAGCUCGGAACCUCGGUUCUGUUUUUCAAAGCUAACGCAUUAAGUAGACCGCCUGGGGAGUACGGCCGCAAGGUUAAAACUCAAAUGAAUUGACGGGGGCCCGCACAAGCGGUGGAGCAUGUGGUUUAAUUCGAUGCAACGCGAAGAACCUUACCUACACUUGACAUACAGAGAACUUACCAGAGAUGGUUUGGUGCCUUCGGGAACUCUGAUACAGGUGCUGCA